UCUAGUGGUAUGAUUCUCGCUUUGGGUGCGAGAGGUCCCGAGUUCGAUUCUCGGAACGCCCCCGUCCUUUUUUUUCAUGACCUCGAGCAGUCAUGGAGGUAGCAUCUUUAUCUUUCAACCUCGGAAAGCGAGGCCAUGGAUGCCACCUGUAAUCAAUAAGUCAAAUAUCAAAUCAUUAUGCUCUUUUGCUUCUAAACAAAAAGACCAGAGAAGCCGACAAAGAAGGUAAAAUACCAAAACGAAAACUGAGGGGGCAUUCCGAGAAUCGAACUCGGGCCCCGUCCUUUUUUUACAUGACGUCGAGUCAUUAUGCUCUUUUGCUUCUAAACCAAAAGACCAAAGAAGCCGCAACAGAAGGUAAAAUACCAAAAGGAAAACUGAGGGGGCAUUCCGAGAAUUGAACUCGGGACCUCUCGCACCCUAAGCGAGAAUCAUACCACUAGACCAAAUGCCCGCUUGCUUUCGAUUUAGAUCAGUACGUUAUAUUUGUAGUUAAAUAUCUGCGACACGUUUCCCUCCAAAAGAUUAUUUCUGAGUCCCUUUUUUUUCGUGCCGUUUUUCCAUUGCCCCUCCAAAACUCAAAAUCCCACACUGCUUUCGUUGCAUAAAAAUCGGGUUUUACGUCACCCUUAUAGUGUUCCUUUCCAUUAUUUAAGAAAAUUUAAGUUUUCCAGCAAAUGAUCAUUUCAUCACAGGGAAAAAUCCAACACUAAACAGAGGUUCUAACAAAUUGAAUGGCUGAUUAUGAUCAUAACGACACUGACACUUUGUUCUUUGACUCUCAGUCCCCAUCCGGAAGUAAAGGUGGAGAGUUGCAAAACACUGCCGUUUUUUAUGAUACCAUGGUGCUUGAUAGUUCUGUAAAUGAAAAUGAAACCCAGUUGGAGAAUAUUUGCUUUGACACUGAAGUCGCGGAUAACGAUGAUGAUGAUGAUCUGAGUAAUAAUAUGGAGGAUGUGAAAGUUGAACCAGUAAUGUGUGAGCUUGAUAUGGAAAUUGUGCUUGAUAGUGAGGAUGAAGAAAUUUGUAGAGCCAAGGCUGAAAAUUUCCUUGAUGGUAGUAAGAUCACGGAUAGAAGUGAAGGGAAAGUGGCAAAGAAGAGGGAAGGGCAAAGCCCAUGUUUAGAUGCUGAUUCAACUGACGAACAAAUCGGUGCAGGGAAGAAAGGGUCUUCCACCAAUCUUGAUAGCAGUGAUGGGAAAAAAGAUGUGCCUCAGUUGUCAGUAGGUGAUCAUGAGAUUGGAAGGUUGGAAUAUGUUAAUUCUCAGGAACCGGAAUGGUCAUCCCAAGCUAAUGCACUUUGCUUUGUGGAUAACUUCUUGAGGUUUAAUAAUGUGGAUAUGUGUCAAGGAGUUGAAGAGAGAACCAGUGCAAGGAACGAAUCACCUCUUGUUUCCAGUGCAAAGGGAACUCAACGUUUGGCUAAGAUAAUCAAGCGGGGAUCUCUGGUCAAAGAAGUGGGAACUUUUAAUUGGUUUGAGAGUUAUCAGCAAGUAGAGACUGAUUCCUUUAGCAAGAGGAUGACAGCAUCUUUUGAAUUUGGAGGCUUUGGGCAGAGGACAGAUAAAAGGCAUCAAAAUCUCCAGAAUAAAGGGCAAAGAAGCUUAAGUAAUGAGCAUGAAGAGAAGAAAGAGUUUCCAGACCUCCACAGGGACGUUAGAGGUCCAAGUCAUUCACAUUCAAGUUUCAUGGAUCGGGGUUCGAAAGUGAGUAUCAUGAUAGAACAUGAAUCUGAAAGGAAUCUCAUAAAUGGAUCCUUUAAGGAGUUGGAUAAACCCAAGCAGAGAGAAUCAUCAUGGGAGAAGUUUCAAACCAGUGGUACUGCAACAGACAUACCAGACACAUUUGAAGUCGGUAUAAGCACUCAAAUAGCUGCAGAAGCGAUGGAAGCUUUAUAUUAUGGCUUCCCUCCUGGUUGCAAAGGUGGUGAUACAUUUGAAGGCCUAGAGGAUAGCCUCAAAGAUCUUCCUGAAGGUGAAACAAAGAGUAGAACCCAUUUGGAGCAACAUUCCCUUCAAAAAGUUGCUGCCUGUGAGCUAGGAGAAGUUGCAAAAGAGUCAAUUCGAAGAAAGCGUUCUGCUAGAAGAAAUAGUAAGAACAUUUCUAAUUCUUCUUGGAACUGUAAUUAUCAGGAAUUGAAUCACACAACAAAACCAAAAACAUAUAAGAGCAAGCAAUUAGAGGUAGAUGAAUCUGUGAGCAGCAAUAACCUAAAAAAGUGUGAGACUUAUUUGAGUCCAUCUAUUCCAGAUGAGCAAACCAUGCUCAGGAAAAAAUUGCCACGGGAGGAACCCGUCAUUCAACAAACUAGGCACUUGGAAGGAGGAGCUUCCAUGAAAAGGACUAAGGACCAACCAGAUAGACCAAGGGUAAUGACCAAUAAUGUUAAGGAGGGCAGUAUACUCACAUAUAAGAGAAAGAGGAAAAGCCUGUUUGCUGAUCCGCCUAAAUUGUUGAGUGGGAAGCAGAAAUGCUCCAAGCUGCGUUCUCAUGCCUCUGCUGAAGCUUUAGAUGGCAAACUGAGUGAACCAGGGCAAAGUAGUCCACAAGAAGCUGCUAUAGGCAGAUUUUUGAGAUUAGGUCCAUGGAACUGUCCCAAAGGCAAAAGAACACAUCAUAAAAUUCCAAUCCAUUCCUGUGGACAAAGUAAUAUGCAUGCUUCAUUCACUAGUGUUGGUGCAGAAGAACACAACCUGUGUUCUUUCAAAAGUCAAAAUAAGCCAGAAGAUGAUGAAACCACUUCUAAUAACUUAAACAUGAAGGGUCGAGUUCUUACUUUCCUCUCUCAACUUUCUUUAGAAAAUAAUUCUGAUGAAAGCUUAUCAAAACAGAAUUGUAAGGAACAAGUUACAGAUAUUGUUGCAAACAAUGAUUCAGCAGUCACUAGCAUUAGAAUAUCUCCUUGGGACUUGGAUAAAGCCAAGGCCAUCCAAGCUGGCAAGCUAGAUUAUAUGGAUUCUACAUUGAUCAUUAACAGUUUAAAGAACCAUAGUUUUGGAGAAUCACUAAGAAAGAGUAUUGAACUGUCUGGUACCAAAUGCAACACUACACUUAGUUGUGCAAAAGGUGUAAAUGAGGCAUCACUCAACAACAGGCCUUACGUAUAUCACAGAAGAUCUUGCAACAAAAACCUACCAAAACCAUCACUUUUGAAAGAGCUUAUGGGAUUAGGUGUUCCUGAGUCAAUAUCUAAUUUUACAAGGAAAGUUUUCAGACCACGAAAAGAACCGGCCUAUGUUCGAGUCUUGUUUAGCCAGCAUUUAGAUGAUGAUGUAAUCAAGCAGCAGAAAAAGAUCUCUGCACGACUAGGUAUUUCUAUCACAUCAUGUUCUAUGGACGCCACACAUUUCAUAGCAGACAAAUUUGUGCGUACAAGGAACAUGUUGGAAACCAUUGCUCUUGGCAAACCAGUGGUGACACGUCUAUGGCUUGAUAGCUGUGGACAGGCAAAUUGCUUACUUGAUGAGAAAAAUUACAUCCUGAGGGACUCCAAAAAGGAAAGGGAAAUUGGCUUUAGUAUGGCUAUUUCAUUGGCUCGUGCAAGACAGUUUCCACUUUUAAAGGAUAAAAGAGUCUGCAUCACCCAAAAUGUUAAACCUAAUCAAGAGAUGAUUACUGGCUUGGUCAAAGCAGUUGGAGGUGAGGUUGUGGAGACAAGUCAGAAAUUGGCAGUAAAAGAUCAAAAGAUUCCAGAUGAUCUGUUGGUUCUUUCUUGUGAAGAAGAUCUAGCAAUCUGUGCACCUUUACUUGAUAAAGGUUGUACAUUAUUAUUUCCUUUUGUUCUUUCAAUUAAAUGAUCACUCAGCUUUGUGGUAAACGAACAAGUUUACUUUUAAGUGCAGGAGCAGCGGUGUAUAGUUCAGAGCUUCUGCUGAACGGGAUCGUCAUCCAAAAAUUGGAAUAUGAGCGGCAUCAGCUCUUCGCCAAAUUUGCCAAAGAAAAAAGAGAGAUCUCAGAGAGGAAUAGACACAGCAGGAUGCCAAGCAAAAACUGAUCUCUCUUCUUACGGACAACUGUAACUAAAAUUAGUCGGUCAUAUUUUGUAUGAAGUACUCUUCUACGGAUAACAAUGUCAACUUAAAGGGAGAGAAGUAGCCUUUGACUGUUAUAAAACUUUUAGAUUUUAUACCUAUUUUGCUAAGUAAGACUUCUUAAUGGUUCUCGAAUUACAUAAUUUUUCUCCGAUCCCAAUCUUCAACAUCAAAUACCUCUUACAAACGAAGGCUUUUAUUGCUAUUGUUUAGCUCCAAAUACAGGACUUCGAAGCCCAAAGAUAGCAGGAGAAAAGGGGAGAGAGAGUUUGUUUUCAAGCAGCUUUCAACAUUGGAUAAACCAGCGAUGAAAGGCUCUUAAUUAGGAGCUCAACUCCAGAAUAGAAUGCACAUAUUCUGGAAUCCUACACUCACCGCCUUCUCACAGCACCUUUGUCUUGAAAAGGCUCUCAUCCAAGCCGAAAGAGUAUGACAUGAUAACAAAUCCCAUGAGAAUGAUAACCAUACGUACUUGCAACGUGGUGCAGCAAUUACAGCUCCUCAAAAGAGUCCCUAGGCAUGUUCAUUAUAUGGUCAUUAUGAUUUGUGAUGCCCGGAAGAAGAAACUAAAACUGGAGAAGCUCCCAUUACAACAAAUAAAACGAGGCUACAUAAAUAACAAAUCAUCAAGAGACAGCUAUUAAUAUUUCAUUCCCUCACAUUCAUCAAGGCUCCAGAUCUAAAAGCAACUUUCAACAGCAUUACAAGCAAAAUCUCACCAAAAUUGUAGUGAAUAUAA